ACUCCUACGGGAGGCAGCAGUGGGGAAUUUUGGACAAUGGGCGCAAGCCUGAUCCAGCAAUGCCGCGUGAGUGAAGAAGGCCUUCGGGUUGUAAAGCUCUUUCAGUUGAGAAGAAAAAAUUGUGACUAAUAAUCACAAUUGAUGACGGUAUCAACAGAAGAAGCACCGGCUAACUACGUGCCAGCAGCCGCGGUAAUACGUAGGGUGCGAGCGUUAAUCGGAAUUACUGGGCGUAAAGGGUGCGCAGGCGGUUUUGUAAGUCAGAUGUGAAAUCCCCGGGCUUAACCUGGGAAUUGCGUUUGAAACUACAAAACUAGAGUGUAGCAGAGGGAGGUGGAAUUCCAUGUGUAGCAGUGAAAUGCGUAGAGAUAUGGAAGAACAUCGAUGGCGAAGGCAGCCUCCUGGGUUAACACUGACGCUCAUGCACGAAAGCGUGGGGAGCAAACAGGAUUAGAUACCCUGGUAGUCCACGCCCUAAACUAUGUCAACUAGUUGUUGGGUCUUAAUAGGCUUGGUAACGUAGCUAACGCGUGAAGUUGACCGCCUGGGGAGUACGGUCGCAAGAUUAAAACUCAAAGGAAUUGACGGGGACCCGCACAAGCGGUGGAUUAUGUGGAUUAAUUCGAUGCAACGCGAAAAACCUUACCUACCCUUGACAUGUUAGAAAGAUUUCAGAGAUGAAAUCGUGUCCGAAAGGAAAUCUAAACACAGGUGCUGCAUGGCUGCCGUCAGCUCGUGUCGUGAGAUGUUGGGUUAAGUCCCGCAACGAGCGCAACCCUUGUCAUUAAUUGCCAUCAUUUAGUUGGGCACUUUAAUGAGACUGCCGGUGACAAACCGGAGGAAGGUGGGGAUGACGUCAAGUCCUCAUGGCCCUUAUGGGUAGGGCUUCACACGUAAUACAAUGGCGCGUACAGAGGGUUGCCAACCCGCGAGGGGGAGCUAAUCUCAGAAAGCGCGUCGUAGUCCGGAUCGGAGUCUGCAACUCGACUCCGUGAAGUCGGAAUCGCUAGUAAUCGCGGAUCAGCAUGUCGCGGUGAAUACGUUCCCGGGUCUUGUACACACCGCCCGUCACACCAUGGGAGUGGGUUUCACCAGAAGCAGGUAGUCUAACCGUAAGGAGGGCGCUUGCCACGGUGAGGUUCAUGACUGGGGUGAAGUCGUAAC
rnacentral:rRNA from 1 species